CAGUAAUGUGACCGCGCACAGUAAUGGCGCCGGUGUCGCGGAUGCUGUGUGUUUGCGGCGGUUGGAUGUUCGGUGUCGUAAUUGGUUAAGUUCCAAGCUAUGGUUGAAAAGUUUUGAAGUUAGGCACUGAUCAACAAGAGUUCAAGGGAAUGGCUGGCUCCGAGGACCUGAGCAAGCCACGCUUGAAGAAGCAUGCCCAGCAUACAGGCCAGUAUACAGGCACCAGUCAGAUCAAGAGAUGCUCAGUGGUGCUCACACCAUUGCCAGCAUCCAUGUGUCUAAAGGAGACUGCAUCACAGAGAAGCAGUGCUACCCGCCUCCAAA